rnacentral:rRNA from 1 species
UACGUAGGGUGCAAGCGUUAAUCGGAAUUACUGGGCGUAAAGCGUGCGCAGGCGGCUUUGCAAGACAGAUGUGAAAUCCCCGGGCUCAACCUGGGAACUGCAUUUGUGACUGCAUGGCUGGAGUGCGGCAGAGGGGGAUGGAAUUCCGCGUGUAGCAGUGAAAUGCGUAGAUAUGCGGAGGAACACCGAUGGCGAAGGCAAUCCCCUGGGCCUGCACUGACGCUCUUGCACGAAAGCGUGGGGAGCAAACAGG